UUCACCAUUCUCUCUCUCUCUCACGACCAAAUCAUCUUCUCUCCUCUCGCGACUCCGACUCCGACUCCGACUCCGACUCCAUCCGGUGAUCACUCCUCGACGGAAUCAAUCCGACUCCAUCCGGUGAUUGGUCUCGUUUAGAGCUUCGGGUUUCUCUAAGAACUUGAUUCUCAGAUCCUCGGCGUCGCGGUUUCACGGCGAGUCCCUCGAUUCCUCCGUCUCACCUGUUCUCAUUCCCGGCGUCCAUGUCUUCCGUUGCCAGGACGCAGUUGGAAUCGUAGCUUAGCUAUCAGAUUGUAUAUAUUCCUCCUUUUGAUGAAGACAAGUCUUGAGAGUGGAACUUGAUAUAAAAGUCAAAAGCUUUUGAUAGUGAAUCACAGAUUGCAAUAGAUUUGGUGAUGAAAAGAUGGUUUCUUUGACAGUGAGUUUAUAUUUGAUCCGGUGAAAUGGCUGAGACACCAAGUGGGUGAAGAUUUUCAAGCUAUUGCGCAAACAGACGGUGCCAUGAACUCGGUUGUGCGUGUGCCUUUGACUUUGAUCAAAUAAUCUUUAACAGUUUCUUCUCAUCGCUUACAAAAAAAAAUGGCAAGCAAUAUGGAGAGUUUCUGCGAGAUCUUAAUCGCGAUCCUUCUUCCGCCUCCUGGAGUCUGCCUCAAGCGUGGCUGCUGCACUCUAGAGUUCUUGAUAUGCUUUGUAUUGACUAUCUUAGGCUACAUCCCAGGGAUAAUCUAUGCUAUACGUGAUCGUGUUUCAGAACCGUGAAGGGGAAACUGAGGACUACAGUGCUCCAUUUCGGCCUUUGAUGCAGGCGUGAAGCUGAUUGGAGCAACAAGCCACUUUGUUACUGAGGAACUUGAUGCAAGGCCUAUCAUUAAACAAAUGGUAACUUUGUCUGCCAACUAUUUGAUUAGUACCUUCUACAAGAUGAUUGUAAAGCAUAAGCGAACGUGUAGACUGUGGAGUUACACUAGGGUUAGUGGUAAAAUGAAGAUUAUGGGGAUUGUGAAGAAGCACGUUACGGUUAAAAUGAACUGCACGAUGGAUGUGACUGUGAACAUCCCGCGACGACAGGCCAUUCAAGAUGUCGAGUGCAACUGCAAGAACAAUAUCGAUCUUUAAGUUUUUGGUUUCCACAUUAGGAUUUGCCUCAACGUUCUUAAUAGUUUCAUUACCAAAUUAUUUGGUCAUUUGAUUAUAACAGCACCAUGUACAAGUGUGUUUUGACUUUCUCGUACUUCUUUAAGAAAAUUGUUUUUCUUUACACUUGCUAUGAUUUUGAAUGGAGUAAAUAUGAGGUUUGUACUAUAUA